UAGAUACCCUGGUAGUGCACGCCGUAAACGAUGUCGACUAGCCGUUGGGCUCCUUGAGAGCUUUGUGGCGCAGUUAACGCGAUAAGUCGACCGCCUGGGGAGUACGGCCGCAAGGUUAAAACUCAAAUGAAUUGACGGGGGCCCGCACAAGCGGUGGAGCAUGUGGUUUAAUUCGAUGCAACGCGAAGAACCUUACCUACCCUUGACAUCGUGCGAACUUUCCAGAGAUGGAUUGGUGCCUUCGGGAACGCACAGACAGGUGCUGCAUGGCUGUCGUCAGCUCGUGUUGUGAAAUGUUGGGUUAAGUCCCGUAACGAGCGCAACCCUUGUCCUUAUUUGCCAGCGAGUCAUGUCGGGAACUCUAAGGAGACUGCCGGUGACAAACCGGAGGAAGGUGGGGACGACGUCAAGUCAUCAUGGCCCUUACGGGUAGGGCUACACACGUGCUACAAUGGCCGGUACAAAGGGUUGCGAAGCCGCGAGGUGGAGCUAAUCCCGAAAAGCUGGUCUCAGUCCGGAUCGGAGUCUGCAACUCGACUCCGUGAAGUCGGAAUCGCUAGUAAUCGUGAAUCAGAAUGUCACGGUGAAUACGUUCCCGGGCCUUGUACACACCGCCCGUCACACCAUGGGAGUGGACUGCACCAGAAGUGGUUAGCCUAACUUCGGAGGGCGAUCACCACGGUGUGGUUCAUGACUGGGGUGAAGUCGUAACAAGGUAGCCGAGA
rnacentral:rRNA from 1 species